AUGGCGCCUGGCACACAGGCAGGACUCCAGAUGUGGUUUUUGAAUGAAGGGAGUAAUAAAAAGCUAGUGCAGGUGGAACUCAAGCUAGGAAGCGGGUCUCCUGACCCUGCCCACAGUUCCACCCAUCAGCACACAGUCUCACUUCCUCGUCAUGUGGUGAAUCAGACCCUGCUUUCCAAGGUUGAUAAUCCUUUUGUUGGAGCCCCAGGCACAAAGUCUGUCCCUGGAGACUGCUCUGAGCAUCAGAACUAUGUUGAGAAAGUCCUCUUGUUCAAGCACAACAUCCAGUUCAGCCUCCAAAGUCCACGAGGCCUGUUGAUGUGGUGCGGGGUGGGGUGGGGGUUGAAAUGGAAUGAGUGGCUGAUUUUCUCCAAAUGGUACAUUUCAUUCAUGAUGCAUGAGUGUAAUCGGGAUUGCCUGAAGCCUGCAGUCCCCAGCUCGGCAAAAAAAAAAAAAAGGGAAAAAAAAAAAAAAGAAAUGGCUAUUUUCUGGAGUGAAUACACUGAAAGGGCAAGAAAUCCAUAUUCAUUUUCUUGCCUCUCGGCUGGACUCUAUAUUUCGCAGGCAGGUGGAACAAAAAUCUUUAAAUAUCAUGCUGAUCCAGGAAAUGCUCGGCAAUAUUUAAAGAGCUCCGCGUGCCUGCCUCCUGCCCUCCAGUUCUCGGCAGGCAAGACCCACGUCACGGGGCUGGACAGCCACUGCUGCAGCCUCAGCGAGCCCCGCUCCAGACCCUGGGUUCAGAUUAACUGGCGCAUGACCUUUACAAAAUGGUUGGAAAUCUCAGGACUCUGGGUGUCUUGACCUCCUGCAGAUGCUGCGCUCGGGACAGAGGGCUGCUGGGAGAAGAAAAGAAAGAGCCUUAAUGCGCCAUAUCGGGGUGAGCCCCAGGGAGUCCACUAACUGCUUUUUAAUGAUCGUCACUGACCAGCUCAGAUUUCCCUGCCAUGAAAGAGCAGCGUGGGCGAUCACAGAGGACCUCUGAGGGAGAGUGAUUUGAGGAAGGACCACGUGUGAUGGGGAGCCGGGUCAAACGGAUCACGAGUGGACGAUUACGGGGAGGGGCAUGCGGCCAUUCUUAGGGCUGUCGUCACAACCCAGGUGCUGAUACAGUGUCCUCUCUGAGGUCUUCCAACUGGCCAUUACCCUCCCCUAAUGAGACUGUCCUGAGUUUCUCUGUAUGUAGC
rnacentral:lncRNA from 1 species